GGCCGGUGGUGUAAGGCGAACAUCGCUGCCCGGAAAGCAGAAGAUGUGGGUUCGAGUCCUGCCUGGCGCA
rnacentral:tRNA from 1 species